AUUGAACGCUGGCGGCAGGCCUAACACAUGCAAGUCGAGCGGAUGAGUGGAGCUUGCUCCAUGAUUCAGCGGCGGACGGGUGAGUAAUGCCUAGGAAUCUGCCUGGUAGUGGGGGACAACGUUUCGAAAGGAACGCUAAUACCGCAUACGUCCUACGGGAGAAAGUGGGGGAUCUUCGGACCUCACGCUAUCAGAUGAGCCUAGGUCGGAUUAGCUAGUUGGUGAGGUAAAGGCUCACCAAGGCGACGAUCCGUAACUGGUCUGAGGGGAUGAUCAGUCACACUGGAACUGAGACACGGUCCAGACUCCUACGGGAGGCAGCAGUGGGGAAUAUUGGACAAUGGGCGAAAGCCUGAUCCAGCCAUGCCGCGUGUGUGAAGAAGGUCUUCGGAUUGUAAAGCACUUUAAGUUGGGAGGAAGGGCAGUAAGUUAAUACCUUGCUGCUUUGACGUUACCAACAGAAUAAGCACCGGCUAACUUCGUGCCAGCAGCCGCCGUAACAC
rnacentral:rRNA from 1 species